AAUUGAAGAGUUUGAUCCUGGCUCAGAUUGAACGCUGGCGGUAUGGCUAAAACAUGCAAGUCGAGCGCGAACGUCCUUCGGGACUAUUAGAGCGGCGCAAGGGCGAGGAAUCCAUUCCUACGUACCCCAAGGUCGAGGAUAGCUCAGGGAAACUUGAGGUAAUACUCGAUGUGGUGCUUCGGCAUCAAAGGCUUGCUGCCUUGGGAGCGGGGAAUGACCUAUCAGGUUGUUGGUGAGGUAACGGCUCACCAAGCCUUAGACGGGUAGCGGGUGUGAGAGCACGACCCGCCGCAUCGGGACUGAGACACUGCCCGGACUCCUACGGGAGGCUGCAGUAACGAAUCUUCCG
rnacentral:rRNA from 1 species